rnacentral:rRNA from 1 species
GAACUUAAGCAUAUCAAUAAGCGGAGGAAAAGAAACCAACAGGGAUUGCUUCAGUAACGGCGAGUGAAGCGGCAACAGCUCAAAUUUGAAAUCUGACUUCGGUCCGAGUUGUAAUUUGCAGAGGGUAUUUGGAAAGUGAUAUGGGCUUAAGUCCCUUGGAACAGGGCGUCAUAGAGGGUGAGAAUCCCGUAUGUAGCCACAUAUCAAUUUCAUGUCAAAUCCCUUCGACGAGUCGAGUUGUUUGGGAAUGCAGCUCAAAAUGGGUGGUAAAUUUCAUCUAAAGCUAAAUACCGGCCAGAGACCGAUAGCGCACAAGUAGAGUGAUCGAAAGAUGAAAAGCACUUUGGAAAGAGAGUUAAACAGUACGUGAAAUUGUUGAAAGUGAAGCGCUUGCCAUUAGACCGAUCUUCAGGCUGCAGUUCAGAGGGAACUCUGGACGUAACGCACCUGAUUUUCGGCCAGCAUCGGUUUAGGUGGUUUGACAAAGACUUUAAGAACGUGGCUUUUCGGAGUGUUAUAGCUUAGAGUGUAAUGAAACCUACCUGGACCCGAGGACCGCGCUUCGGCUAGGAUGCUGGCGUAAU